UGUGGGAGGGCGACGCGUCCUUUCUCUGCACUCACGCGGCGCGCAGUAUGGAUUUCCUGGUAGCUGGGGCUUGGGAGGUGGCUGUGGCCUGCCAUCUAGCGUGUCCGCGGUAGGCUUUGGCCUACGUCCCCUUCCCGGGAAAUCGGGGGAUGGCGCUAACUCGGUGGCCGCGUGAGGAGCACGGCCCGCCGGACCCCGCGUGAAGUGGGUCGGUGUGGAAGCCGAGCUCCGUUUGCGAUGUAGAUCUCCGCCGCAUGCCCAGGCGCACAACUGGGCGGAAAUGCGCGGACAUCCAAGUCACAAGGUAGGUGUCUGAAGCUGACGGAUAACUUCCAGAACGACACGCGGGAGCACAGAGUGGCUUAAGGAUGUCCUCGAUGAUUUGGAAAUUGGAUCUUAAGAGGCAUGGGUGACUUAAAGUGUGUCAGAACUCCACAGAUGGAUGUACACUUGUAACAAGGCUGUGAAUAAAUACUUUGAUAUGCCGUUCUGAGA